UACGUAGGUCGCAAGCGUUGUUCGGAAUUACUGGGCGUAAAGCGCGCGUAGGCGGACGCUUAAGUCAGGGGUGAAAUCCCGGGGCUCAACCCCGGAACGGCCUUUGAUACUGAGCGUCUGGAGUCCGGAAGAGGUUGGUGGAAUUCCGAGUGUAGAGGUGAAAUUCGUAGAUAUUCGGAGGAACACCAGAGGCGAAGGCGGCCCUCUGGUCCGGUACUGACGCUGAGGCGCGAAAGCGUGGGGAGCAAACAGG
rnacentral:rRNA from 1 species